rnacentral:rRNA from 1 species
AUGGUCCAGGUGCGGAGUUUUGCUCUCUUUGUCAAAGCUUGGAGGACACUGACCACAUCCUGUUUUGAUGCCCCCUGGCAUCUUUGCUAUGGAGUUGUCUCAGGGAGUGGAUGGGUGUCCCUUGGGGCUCCUUCUAAUUUCGCUGCUCUCCGAUUACUUGCGGCCACCCUGUCUGGUCACCUCAAGAGGCUAUUUUGGUUUGGCUUCUCGACCAUGUGUUGGACCUUGUGGAUGACUAGAAACAAGUUACUAUUGAACAGGUGUUCCCUAACUCUGCGGUUAAUAUCAUCUUCAAACUGCCCAUAUUUUUGCAGCAGGGGAAAUCUCUAA